rfam:Salmo salar isolate Sally breed double haploid chromosome ssa19, whole genome shotgun sequence.
UGGCUCAGUUGGUAGAGCAUGGUGUUUGCAAUGCCAGGGUUGUGGGUUCGAUUCCCAA